rnacentral:rRNA from 1 species
GAUGAACGCUGGCGGCGUGCUUAAUACAUGCAAGUCGAACGCUGGAGAGCUAGCUUGCUCGGACGAAGGAGUGGCGAACGGGUGAGUAAUACAUAAGCAACCUACCCACGAAGACAGGGCAAAUCACUGGAAACGAGGACUAAUACCGGACAGGUAAUCGGAAGGCAUCUUCUGGUUAUUAAAGGUGACAAACACUGUUGGAUGGGCUUAUUGCGCAUUAGUUAGUUGGUGAGGUAACGGCCCACCAAGACGAUGAAGCCUAGCCGGGCUGAGGGGGUGAACGGCCACGUCGGGACCGAGGCACAGCCCACUAUGCUACGGGGCGCAGCGGUAGUGUAGUCUCUGCGCGGGAGCCAACCCUGACCGAGCCACGCGGCGUGAGAGGAGCCUGCCUUCGUGUUGUAAAGCUCUGUUGUAAGGGAAGAACGGUAGAUAGACAAGAUCUAAGUGACGGUACCUUACCAGAAAGCCACGGCUAACUACGUG